UACAGGGGGGGCAAGCGUUGUUCGGAAUUACUGGGCGUAAAGGGCUCGUAGGCGGCCAACUAAGUCACACGUGAAAUCCCCAGGCUUAACCUGGGAACUGCGUGUGAUACUGGUUGGCUUGAAUCCGGGAGAGGGAUGCGGAAUUCCAGGUGUAGCGGUGAAAUACGUAGAUAUCAGGAGGAAUACCGGUGGCGAAGGCGGCCAUCUGGCCAAAUACUGACGCUGAGAUACGAAAGUGUGGGGAUCAAACAGG
rnacentral:rRNA from 1 species